UUGAGCCGUAUGAGGUGAAAGUCUCAUGUACGGUUCUUAGGCGAGAAGGAGAGAGUAAUCUCUUUGACUUAGCUGAC
rnacentral:ncRNA from 1 species